rnacentral:rRNA from 1 species
ACGGAAGGCAGCAGUGGGGAAUAUUGCACAAUGGGGGAAACCCUGAUGCAGCGACGCCGCGUGAGUGAAGAAGUAUUUCGGUAUGUAAAGCUCUAUCAGCAGGAAAGAAAAUGACGGUACCUGACUAAGAAGCCCCGGCUAACUACGUGCCAGCAGCCGCGGUAAUACGUAGGGGGCAAGCGUUAUCCGGAUUUACUGGGUGUAAAGGGAGCGUAGACGGCUUUGCAAGUCUGAAGUGAAAGCCCGGGGCUCAACCCCGGAACUGCUUUGGAAACUGUAGAGCUAGAGUGCAGGAGAGGUAAGUGGAAUUCCUAGUGUAGCGGUGAAAUGCGUAGAUAUUAGGAGGAACACCAGUGGCGAAGGCGGCUUACUGGACGAUUACUGACGCUGAGGCUCGAAAGCGUGGGGAGCAAACAGGAUUAGAUACCCUGGUA